AAGAAAAUAUGGCAGUAGCAGAAGCUGCUUAUUUAGAGUGGUACCUGUGUCUUUAAGAGCCGUACUCAUAUUACAUAAUGACAUUAUCGUCUGUAGGGGCAGUCUUAGGAAAUAGGAGAAAGUGAAACUAUAGGUAGUUUGGGGUGAAUUAAUAAGGAAAAUGCAAGUUUAUGACCUACUUGAAGAACAGGAAGCCUGUGAAGGGUGUGUUAUCUUAAUACUGCACUGCAGUUUGCCUGGAACCAAACUCUACUGAACAGGAAUGUAUGCAAUAAAUAUUCAGGAUCUGAGGAGGUUUAAAUUCUGGCUCUCAAACGAUGUGCCUGAGGGUUUUAAACCCAUUGGAAAGGGCAGACUGGAGAACAAAUCUGUGGUUGACAUAGUGGAGCAGAUGAUGGCGGCCUUUGGGGAAAAAGAUGC